rnacentral:sRNA from 1 species
CCCAGUAUACCUGUGCCACUUUGUGCCUUAAGGAACAAGCUUGCUCAGCGUUUUCAUUUUUCAGUGCUUCUGAGGGUCCCCAGUGUUUCUGGAUGACAUCAUGGAUCAGCCCAGCUGUCAACAAUUCAGACUUCUGGACCUACAGGAAAAACAUGACCAGGGUAGCAUUUCUUUUUAGUGGUCAGGCUGUGGCUAGGAGUGACUAUGAGCCUGUGACAAGGCAAUGGGCCAUAAUGCAGGAAGGUGAUGAAUUUGCAAAUCUCACAGUGUCUAUCCUUCCUGAUGAUUUCCCAGAGAUGGAUGAGAGUUUUCUAAUUUCUCUCCUUGAAGUUCACCUCAUGAACAUUUCAGCCAGUUUGAAAAAUCAGCCAACCAUAGGACAGCCAAAUACUUCUACAGUUGUCAUAGCACUAAAUGGUGAUGCCUUUGGAGUGUUUGUGAUCUACAGUAUUAGUCCCAAUACUUCCGAAGAUGGCUUAUUUGUUGAAGUUCAGGAGCAGCCCCAAACCUUGGUGGAGCUGAUGAUACACAGGACAGAGGGCAGCUUAGGUCAAGUGGCAGUCGAAUGGCGUGUUGUUGGUGGAACGGCUACUGAAGGUUUAGAUUUUAUAGGUGCUGGAAAGAUUCUGACCUUUGCUGAAGGUGAAACCGAAAAGACAGUCAUUUUAACCAUCUUGGAUGACUCUGAACCAGAGGAUGACGAAAGUAUCAUAGUUAGUUUGGUGUACACUGAAGGUGGAAGUAGAAUUUUGCCAAGGUCCGACACUGUUAGAGUGAACAUUUUGGCCAGUGACCAUGUGGCAGGAAUUGUUAGCUUUCAGACAGCUUCCAGAUCUGUCAUAGGUCAUGAAGGAGAAAUUUUACAAUUCCAUGUGAUAAGAACUUUCCCUGGUCGAGGAAAUGUUACUGUUAACUGGAAAAUUAUUGGGCAAAAUCUAGAACUCAAUUUUGCUAACUUUAGCGGACAACUCUUCUUUCCUGAGGGGUUGUUGAAUACAACAUUGUUUGUACAUUUGUUGGAUGACAACAUUCCUGAGGAGAAAGAAGUAUACCAAAUCAUUCUGUAUGAUGUCAGGACACAAGGAGUUCCACCAGCUGGAAUCGCCCUGCUUGAUGCUCAAGGAUAUGCAGCUGUCCUCACAGUAGAAGCCAGUGAUGAACCACAUGGAGUUUUAAAUUUUGCUCUUUCAUCAAGAUUUGUGUUACUACAAGAGGCUAACAUAACAAUUCAGCUUUUCAUCAACAGAGAAUUUGGAUCUCUAGGAGCUAUCAAUGUCACAUAUACCACGGUUCCUGGAAUGCUGAGUCUGAGGAACCAAACAGUAGGAAACCUAGCAGAGCCAGAAGUUGAUUUUGUCCCUGUCAUUGGCUUUCUGAUUUUAGAAGAAGGGGAAACAGCAGCAGCCAUCAAUAUUACCAUUCUUGAGGAUGAUAUACCAGAGCUAGAAGAAUAUUUCCUGGUGAAUUUAACUUAUGUUGAACUUACCAUGGCUGCUUCAACUUCAUUUCCUCCCAGACUAGAUUCAGAAGGUUUGACUGCACAAGUUAUUAUCGACGCCAAUGAUGGGGCCCGAGGUGUAAUUGAAUGGCAACAAAGCAGGUUUGAAGUAAAUGAAACCCAUGGAAGUUUAACAUUGGUAGCCCAGAGGAGCAGAGAACCUCUUGGCCAUGUUUCCUUAUUUGUGUAUGCUCAGAAUUUGGAAGCACAAGCGGGGCUGGAUUAUAUCUUCACCCCAAUGAUUCUUCAUUUUGCUGAUGGAGAAAGGUAUAAAAAUGUCAAUAUCGUGAUUCUGGAUGAUGACAUUCCAGAAGGAGAUGAAAAAUUUCAGCUGAUUUUAACAAAUCCUUCUCCUGGACUAGAGCUAGGGAAAAAUACAAUAGCCUUAAUUAUUGUCCUUGCUAAUGAUGACGGCCCUGGAAUUCUAUCAUUUAACAACAGUGAGCACUUUUUCCUAAGAGAGCCAACAGCUCUCUAUGUCCAGGAGAGUGUUGCAGUAUUGUACAUUGUUCGGGAACCUGCAGAAGGAUUGUUUGGAACAGUGACAGUUCAGUUCAUUGUGACAGAAGUGAAUUCCUCAAAUGAAUCUAAAGAUCUGACUCCUUCCAAAGGCUACAUUGUUUUAGAAGAAGGUGUUCGAUUCAAGGCCCUACAAAUAUCUGCCAUAUUAGACACGGAACCAGAAAUGGAUGAGUAUUUUGUUUGCACCUUGUUUAAUCCAACUGGAGGUGCUAGACUAGGGGCGCAUGUUCAAACGCUGAUAACAGUUUUGCAAAACCAGGCCCCUUUGGGGCUAUUCAGUAUCUCUGCAGUUGAAAAUAGAGCCACCUCCAUAGACAUCGAAGAAGCCAAUAGAACUGUGUAUUUAAAUGUAUCUCGAACUAAUGGCAUUGAUUUGGCUGUGAGUGUGCAGUGGGAGACAGUAUCUGAAACAGCCUUUGGCAUGAGGGGAAUGGAUGUUGUGUUUUCCAUAUUUCAAAGUUUUUUGGAUGAAUCAGCUUCUGGCUGGUGUUUCUUUACUUUGGAAAAUUUAAUAUAUGGUAUAAUGUUAAGAAAAUCAUCUGUUACUGUUUACCGAUGGCAGGGGAUUUUUAUUCCAGUUGAGGAUUUAAAUAUAGAAAAUCCUAAAACUUGUGAGGCCUUUAAUAUUGGUUUUUCUCCCUACUUUGUGAUUACUCAUGAAGAAAGAAAUGAAAAGCCUUCUCUUAACAGUGUGUUUACAUUCACAUCUGGAUUUAAAUUAUUCCUGGUACAAACAAUCAUUAUUCUGGAAAGUUCUCAAGUAAGAUAUUUUACUUCAGACAGCCAAGAUUAUUUAAUCAUUGCAAGUCAAAGAGAUGAUUCUGAAUUAACUCAGGUCUUCAGGUGGAAUGGAAGAAGCUUCGUGUUGCAUCAAAAACUCCCUGUCCGAGGUGUGCUGACCAUGGCCUUGUUCAACAAGGGAGGCUCUGUGUUCUUAGCCAUUUCCCAGGCUAAUGCUAGGCUGAACUCCCUUUUAUUCAGAUGGUCUGGCAGCGGGUUUAUUAACUUUCAAGAGGUGCCUGUCAGUGGGACAACAGAAGUUGAGGCUUUGUCCUCAGCCAAUGAUAUUUACUUGAUAUUUGCCAAAAAUGUCUUUCGAGGAGAUCAGAAUUCAAUUGAUAUUUUCAUCUGGGAGAUGGGACAGUCUUCCUUCAGGUAUUUGCAGUCCCUAGAUUUUGUUGCUGUUAACAGAAUCCACUCCUUCACACCAGCCUCAGGAAUAGCCCACAUACUUCUUAUUGGCCAAGAUAUGUCUGCUCUUUACUGCUGGAAUUCGGAGCUUAAUCAGUUCUCUUUUGUUCUGGAAGUAUCUUCUGCUUAUGAUGUAGCUUCUGUUACAGUAAAGUCCCUUAAUUCAAGCAAGAAUUUAAUAGCUCUAGUGGGAGCUCAUUCACAUAUAUAUGAGCUAGCCUACAUUUCCAGCCAUUCUGACUUUAUUCCUAGUUCAGGUGAACUGAUAUUUGAACCUGGUGACAGAGAAGCUACAAUAGCAGUAAAUAUCCUUGAUGAUACAGUUCCAGAAAAAGAAGAAUCCUUCAAAGUUCAACUUAAAAAUCCCAAAGGAGGAGCAGAGAUUGGCAUUAAUGAUUCUGUAACAAUAACCAUUCUGUCUAAUGAUGAUGCCUAUGGAAUUGUCGCAUUUGCUCAGAAUUCAUUAUAUAAGCAAGUGGAAGAAAUGGAGCAAGAUAGCCUAGUAACCUUGAACGUUGAACGCUUAAAAGGAACAUAUGGCCGUAUAACCAUAGCAUGGGAAGCUGAUGGAAGUAUUAGUGAUAUAUUUCCUACCUCAGGAGUGAUUUCGUUUACUGAAGGCCAGGUACUGUCAACAAUCACUCUGACUAUUCUUGCUGAUAAUAUACCAGAGUUAUCAGAGGUUGUGAUUGUAACCCUCACCCAUAUCACCACAGAAGGGGUUGAGGACUCAUACAAAGGUGCUACUAUUGAUCAGGACAGAAGCAAGUCUGUUAUAACAACUUUGCCCAAUGACUCACCUUUUGGCUUGGUGGGCUGGCAUGCUGCGUCUGUCUUCAUUAGAGUAGCAGAGCCUAAAGAAAACACCACCACUCUUCAGUUACAAAUAGCUCGAGAUAAAGGACUACUUGGGGAUAUUGCCAUUCACUUGAGAGCUCAACCCAAUUUCUUACUGCAUGUCGAUAAUCAAGCUACUGAGAAUGAAGAUUAUGUAUUGCAAGAAACAAUAAUAAUAAUGAAAGAAAACAUAAAAGAAGCUCAUGCCAAAGUUUCCAUUUUGCCGGAUGACCUUCCUGAAUUGGAGGAAGGAUUUAUUGUCACUGUCACUGAGGUGAACCUGGUGAACUCUGACUUCUCUGCAGGACAGCCAAGUGUGCGGAGGCCUGGAAUGGAAAUAGCUGAGAUAAUGAUAGAAGAAAAUGACGAUCCCAGAGGAAUUUUUAUGUUUCAUGUUACUAGAGGCGCUGGGGAAGUUAUUACUGCCUAUGAGGUGCCUCCACCCUCGAACGUUCUUCAAGUUCCUGUAGUCCGGCUGGCUGGAAGCUUUGGGGCAGUAAAUGUUUAUUGGAAAGCGUCACCAGACGGUGCUGGCUUGGAAGACUUUAAACCAUCUCAUGGGAUUCUUGAAUUUGCAGAUAAACAGGUUACUGCAAUGAUAGAAAUCACCGUAAUUGAUGAUACUGAAUUUGAAUUGACAGAGACGUUCAAUAUUUCCUUGAUCAGUGUUGCUGGAGGUGGCAGACUUGGUGAUGAUGUUGUGGUAACUGUUGUUAUUCCACAAAAUGAUUCUCCAUUUGGAGUAUUUGGAUUUGAAGAAAAGACUGUAAGUUAAAUAUAUCAGGGGAACGCCUUGUUUCAAGCUAGAGUUUCAUGGAAUUUUGAGUAGAAAGUGUCUUACAUUUUUGUUUUGAAAGUCUUGGCCAGGCAUGGUGGCUCAUGCCAGUAAUCCCAGCACUUUGGGAGGCCGUGGCGGGCAGAUCACGAGGUCAGGAGAGUGACACCAUCCUGGCCAACAUGGUUGAAACCCCGUCUCUACUAAAAAUACAAAAAUUAGCUGGGUGUGGUGGCACAUGCCUGUAAUCCCAUAUACUUGGGAGGCUGAGGCGGGAGACUCGCUUGAACCCAGGAGGCAGAGGUUGCAGUGAGCUGAGAUCACGCCAUUGCACUCCAGCCUGGCAACAUAGAGAGACUCCAUCUCAAAAAAAAAAAACAAAAAA